GAAGUAGACUCGUAUGUCAGGGAAUUGGUUCACUAUCUUGCACUACAGUUCAUCAAACCAUGAUGGUUGAAUUCUUGCGUGAACCAGAUCCGAGAGACUUUGGGACUACUUUUGUCUGGGCAAGCGUUGGACUAAUUCGAUUAUUUCAACUCUCAAACCGUUCGCUCACCGACUAAAAUUCUUACAAAAUGAAUGUACAAAGUUAAAUCCUUACAUGUGCUUUCAAAAUAAUACAACAAAUUAUAAAUUACAAAUGGUUGAAUCUCAGUCAGCUCGUGUUCGGUUAUUAUUCCGCUCCAACUUAUCAUGAGUUUUGAAUCAAUACCGAAACUGAAUUCAACUGCGAACUCAGUGAAUAGGGCGUCAAACCUUGUGAUCGAGGGUCAGGGCGUUGAACCUAAGUGCGUUGAGUCCUAUGGGUUAAGCUCGACCCGCAUGACAAUCAGGUUGUGAGACUUGAUAUUUUUAUUCCAAAUAGCAUACGUAAAUAUAUACAUACAUAUGCUAAGUUGCUGCAAAAAAAAAAAGUAGGAAGGGCCCCACGUGGCCCCAUUUUUCCCCAAGUAAAACCAUUCCACCGCCUUCCAUUUCAUCUCAUCUCAUCUAUUCUUUUUUUUUUCUUUUCCACUCUUUACUCUGUUUUGAGCUGUGAGAACCGAACAAGAAAUAGAGCAAUCGGGGGAGAGAGAGAGAGAGAGACGAGUGAGUGAAUUUUAGAGGAAGCAGAAAGAGAGAAUGGUUAGGGAGGGAGAGAGCUAUCGAGAUAGGAAAUCAUUACACAGGGAAGAGCUUAACCCUGCACUCUAUUCGGGUAUUGAUCGAUUUCAGGAGUUGGUGAGACCGAAAGCAAGCAUCUUGAAGGCUCAAUUCAGUGGACCAUACGUCGAGUGUUUUAUGAGCUAGGAGUUAGACUAGUAGCACAGGAGAACUCUUUUGAUAUCGGGGAUCAGCUCGGAGGACUAGGUGCAGAAAAUAACGAGCAGCAUGCAAAACAAACAAGGUGUUCGCUUUUACCGAAUUUACGUGGAUUAGCAAGUUAUUAGCCCUGGGUGUUUUGAUAUGCAAAUCCUACCUUAGACAAACAACCCGUGCAAGAUAUUUC